rnacentral:rRNA from 1 species
GACGAACGCUGGCGGCGUGCUUAACACAUGCAAGUCGAACGAAGAGCGAUGGAAGCUUGCUUCUAUCAAUCUUAGUGGCGAACGGGUGAGUAACGCGUAAUCAACCUGCCCUUCAGAGGGGGACAACAGUUGGAAACGACUGCUAAUACCGCAUACGAUCUAAUCUCGGCAUCGAGGAUAGAUGAAAGGUGGCCUCUACAUGUAAGCUAUCACUGAAGGAGGGGAUUGCGUCUGAUUAGCUAGUUGGAGGGGUAACGGCCCACCAAGGCGAUGAUCAGUGGCCGGUCUGAGAGGAUGAACGGCCACAUUGGGACUGAGACACGGCCCAGACUCCUACGGGAGGCAGCAGUGGGGAAUCUUCCGCAAUGGACGAAAGUCUGACGGAGCAACGCCGCGUGAGUGAUGACGGCCUUCGGGUUGUAAAGCUCUGUUAAUCGGGACGAAAGGCCUUCUUGCGAAUAGUGAGAAGGAUUGACGGUACCGGAAUAGAAAGCCACGGCUAACUACGU